rnacentral:rRNA from 1 species
ACGCUCGACACCUACGGGGGGCAGCAGUGAGGAAUAUUGGUCAAUGGGCGCAGGCCUGAACCAGCCAAGUAGCGUGAAGGAUGACUGCCCUAUGGGUUGUAAACUUCUUUUAUAUGGGAAUAAAGUUUUCCACGUGUGGAAUUUUGUAUGUACCAUAUGAAUAAGGAUCGGCUAACUCCGCGCCAGCAGCCGCGGUAAUCUGAGCGGGCUGGCAAGGC